rnacentral:SRP_RNA from 2 species
GCCAGGCAUGGUGACAUGUGCCUGUAGUCCCAGCUACUCGGGAGGCUGAGGUGGGAGGAUCACUUGAGCCCAGGAGGUCAAGGCUGCAGUGAGCCAAGCUGUGACUGUGCCACUGCAUUCCAGCCUGGGCGACAGAGUGAGACCCUGUCUCAA